ACGGUGACAGAGGAGCAGGAACUGGCAGCCGCAGGGAAUGUAACAGCUACCCCUUUUCUGAGAAAGAGCAUGGCCUUAGAAUAAAGAAGCCCAAAGAAACCAGGCACCAUCUUCUUCCACAGCUGGCCCUCUAGCCCCACAAUAUCCACUAAUCCACCGACAAGGGAUAAAGGCAAUUGGUCUCAGUGUCCUUGUAUCUAUCUACCUCCGACCUUCUAAGAAAGAAGUUGCUUGCCCGAGAAGUGACUGUGCCCGAGGAGCUGGUGCUCGUCACAAAUGUCCCACGUGCUGGAGGAAAGAGUCCUCCACUGUCACCUUGCUGAAAAUCAUUGUUUAAGUGUCUACAGAGUAAGAUGUUUCUUCUGAGUUCCUGUCACCUGUCAGACCCGGCCCUGAGUUCUGCUCAAGAUGGAAGGGGUGACCUCCCAAACCUGCUGGACCCCACGAUACCUCACACAGCCUUGAAUCACCUGAAGGAAAAGAUCCUGUAAACAGCAAGACCUCAGGCCUCAUUCUCCAUUCUUCUGCCUUUGAACAGAGCUGCAUAUCACUACCCCAGGCUCUCUACAUUCAUUCCCCUUUUCAAAUCUCAGGAAGUCUGGGCUGGUAGAAAAAAAUCCUUUACAUUUGUUCAUCUGGAAGUCAAAUUUCCAAAUGAUUCAACAAUGCUGAAGGGUUUACAACAUCUCUGAACAAAUCAAAACUAUUAAAAUCCCAUUGUGUGCUAAUGUCAUU